CCUACGGGGGGCAGCAGUGAGGAAUAUUGGUCAAUGGACGAGAGUCUGAACCAGCCAAGUAGCGUGAAGGAUGACUGCCCUAUGGGUUGUAAACUUCUUUUAUAAAGGAAUAAAACGAGGCACGUGUGCCUUUUUGCAUGUACUUUAUGAAUAAGGAUCGGCUAACUCCGUGCCAGCAGCCGCGGUAAUACGGAGGAUCCGAGCGUUAUCCGGAUUUAUUGGGUUUAAAGGGAGCGUAGAUGGGUUGGUAAGUCAGUUGUGAAAGUUUGCGGCUCAACCGUAAAAUUGCAAUUGAUACUGGCAGUCGUGAGUACAGUUGAGGUAGGCGGAAUUCGUGGUGUAGCGGUGAAAUGCUUAGAUAUCACGAAGAACCCCGAUUGCGAAGGCAGCUUACUAAACUGUGACUGACAUUGAUGCUCGAAAGUGUGGGUAUCAAACAGGAUUAGAUACCCCGGUAGUC
rnacentral:rRNA from 1 species